rnacentral:rRNA from 1 species
AUAAUGGGUCAGCGACUUAUAUUCUGUAGCAAGGUUAACCGAAUAGGGGAGCCGAAGGGAAACCGAGUCUUAACUGGGCGUUAAGUUGCAGGGUAUAGACCCGAAACCCGGUGAUCUAGCCAUGGGCAGGUUGAAGGUUGGGUAACACUAACUGGAGGACCGAACCGACUAAUGUUGAAAAAUUAGCGGAUGACUUGUGGCUGGGGGUGAAAGGCCAAUCAAACCGGGAGAUAGCUGGUUCUCCCCGAAAGCUAUUUAGGUAGCGCCUCGUGAAUUCAUCUCCGGGGGUAGAGCACUGUUUCGGCAAGGGGGUCAUCCCGACUUACCAACCCGAUGCAAACUGCGAAUACCGGAGAAUGUUAUCACGGGAGACACACGGCGGGUGCUAACGUCCGUCGUGAAGAGGGAAACAACCCAGACCGCCAGCUAAGGUCCCAAAGUCAUGGUUAAGUGGGAAACGAUGUGGGAAGGCCCAGACAGCCAGGAUGUUGGCUUAGAAGCAGCCAUCAUUUAAAGAAAGCGUAAUAGCUCACUGGUCGAGUCGGCCUGCGCGGAAGAUGUAACGGGGCUAAACCAUGCACCGAAGCUGCGGCAGCGACGCUUAUGCGUUGUUGGGUAGGGGAGCGUUCUGUAAGCCUGUGAAGGUGUACUGUGAGGUAUGCUGGAGGUAUCAGAAGUGCGAAUGCUGACAUAAGUAACGAUAAAGCGGGUGAAAA